rnacentral:rRNA from 1 species
UACGUAGGGCGCAAGCGUUGUCCGGAAUUAUUGGGCGUAAAGAGCUCGUAGGCGGCUUGUCACGUCGGGGUGUGAAAGCCCCGGGGCUUAACCCCGGGUCUGCAUUCGAUACGGGCUGGCUAGAGUGUGGUAGGGGAGAUCGGAAUUCCUGGUGUAGCGGUGAAAUGCGCAGAUAUCAGGAGGAACACCGGUGGCGAAGGCGGCAUCCUGGACCAACACUGACGCUGAGGAGCGAAAAGCCAGGGGGAGCAAAACGGGG